GGGUAUAUGUCUUCGGAUAUAGAGACCGGCGCACGGGUGCGUAACGCGUAUGCAAUCUACCUUUUACAGAGGGAUAGCCCAGAGAAAUUUGGAUUAAUACCUCAUAGUAUAGUGACUCGGCAUCGAGAUACUAUUAAAGUCACAACGGUAAAAGAUGAGCAUGCGUCCCAUUAGCUAGUUGGUAAGGUAACGGCUUACCAAGGCUACGAUGGGUAGGGGUCCUGAGAGGGAGAUCCCCCACACUGGUACUGAGACACGGACCAGACUCCUACGGGAGGCAGCAGUGAGGAAUAUUGGACAAUGGGCGCAAGCCUGAUCCAGCCAUGCCGCGUGCAGGAUGACGGUCCUAUGGAUUGUAAACUGCUUUUGUACGAGAAGAAACACUCCUUCGUGAAGGAGCUUGACGGUAUCGUAAGAAUAAGGAUCGGCUAACUCCGUGCCAGCAGCCGCGGUAAUACGGAGGAUCCAAGCGUUAUCCGGAAUCAUUGGGUUUAAAGGGUCCGUAGGCGGUUUAGUAAGUCAGUGGUGAAAGCCCAUCGCUCAACGGUGGAACGGCCAUUGAUACUGCUAAACUUGAAUUAUUAGGAAGUAACUAGAAUAUGUAGUGUAGCGGUGAAAUGCUUAGAGAUUACAUGGAAUACCAAUUGCGAAGGCAGGUUACUACUAAUGGAUUGACGCUGAUGGACGAAAGCGUGGGUAGCGAACAGGAUUAGAUACCCUGGUAGUCCACGC
rnacentral:rRNA from 1 species